rnacentral:lncRNA from 1 species
GGGGGAUGUAUGCUCCAAGGUUGUGCCCACUCGGCACGACCCAGGUUCCAUGCUACAGGCCUCUGCUUGUCCAGACCUGAGGGUCAGAUUCAGAUGGUGCAAAUGUUUAAGACCUGGGUCUUCAACGAGAUGAAUUAUCAGCUAUUUCAUAGCUGCAGUGUUGGAUAUGCCGAGAUGAUAAAAGCAACAGCAAUCAGAAUCAACAGUUGAAACGACGUGGCAGACACUGUGAAUGCUAUGAACUGCUGUGCUGAGCAGCAGGAUUCCUGUGUCCUGGCGCAAUGCCCAUGGGGAUUCAUGCUUUCAGAGGGUCACGCCUCAGGAACACGUAGAAGGGCAAGCAUUUCAUCCGGCAGGGCACUGAUUUAAUCUGCACGCAUGUUUGGCUGUAAAACUAGCUCCUCCCCCUUACCAUUUUUGAGUCGCUGCCGGACUCAAAUUCCACAGAUUCUGGAAGGUGUCCAGGAACUCGUUGAUUUGUCAAACUUAUGGCUACACACAGCUGGAAUGGAGACGGACUCCACUGAAGAGACUCAUACAGGACAGGAGGGAAUUUUAAGAGGAUAACCCUGAGAUUGAAAACAUCAAACCAAACCUGAAGCACUGAGAGGUUGGGUAACCAGCUCUGGUCACUGAGUUGGUGAGGGAUGGAUUCAGAAGAGGUCUCCAAUUGUGACACCGCAGAGGACCUGCUCUUGGCCACCACACUCUACCAGCUCUGCAAGAAGACCCACAGAGCCUGUGUGUGCGGCUGAGGUGCUCAGACUGGCAGGUGAAAUGACUUCAUUAGUGCCCUUGCUCCUGGUGGGAUGAGAGUGGGAACCCAGCCUUCUGAGUUGAAGAACUGGAACAAACAUCAGCCCUGACACAUUGAUGUCAGUUUACCUUUGUGAGAAACAGGAACGAAAUGUGAACAUCUAUUUCAGGUGAUGUCAUAAAGCCCGACUCAGAAGAUGGCUAUGAUUUCAACAGCCUGUCGGCAGCACGGAUUUCAGAGUAACUUACAAUCAAUAAUUAAUCUAAACAACAGUGCCGUGUGCACCCCAUUAUUAAAACAGAAGGGGAAACAAAAGGAGACUGAGAGGAUUGCUUUUGAAGGCUCAUGUUGCAGCGGCUUCUGCUGGAUACUAAAAAGCAAAUUAUUAUCAGGGGUUGUUUGUCAUUCACAGGAGGAAUUGGAUUCCUUUAUGUUUAUAAAGUCACCUUGGUAUCUGGAAGGAGAGCAGAAACUAACAGAGCCUACUUUACUUAGGAAUGUAGGAUGCUAAUUUAUUUGCCUUUUUCUUAUAUUAAUAUCCUUAUCUGUAAAAA